UAAUCUUAGCGGCGGACGGGUGAGUAACGCGUGGGCAACCUGCCUCACACUGGGGGAUAACACAGGGAAACUUGUGCUAAUACCGCAUAACAUCAUGAAAGGACAUCCUUUUAUGAUCAAAGGAGCAAUCCGGUGAGAGAUGGGCCCGCGUCCAAUUAGCUAGUUGGUGAUGUAACGGACCACCAAGGCGACGAUUGGUAGCCGAACUGAGAGGUUGAUCGGCCACAUUGGGACUGAGAUACGGCCCAGACUCCUACGGGAGGCAGCAGUGGGGAAUAUUGCGCAAUGGGGGAAACCCUGACGCAGCAACGCCGCGUGAAGGAUGAAGGUUUUCGGAUCGUAAACUUCUUUGAUGGGGGACGAAACAAAUGACGGUACCCCAAAAACAAGCCACGGCUAACUACGUGCCAGCAGCCGCGGUAAUACGUAGGUGGCGAGCGUUGUCCGGAAUUACUGGGUGUAAAGGGCGUGUAGGCGGGAAUGCAAGUCAGAUGUG
rnacentral:rRNA from 1 species